rnacentral:rRNA from 1 species
UGGCUCAGGAUGAACGCUAGCUACAGGCUUAACACAUGCAAGUCGAGGGGCAGCAUUUCAGUUUGCUUGCAAACUGGAGAUGGCGACCGGCGCACGGGUGAGUAACACGUAUCCAACCUGCCGAUAACUCGGGGAUAGCCUUUCGAAAGAAAGAUUAAUACCCGAUGGUAUAAUCAGACCGCAUGGUCUUGUUAUUAAAGAAUUUCGGUUAUCGAUGGGGAUGCGUUCCAUUAGGCAGUUGGUGAGGUAACGGCUCACCAAACCUUCGAUGGAUAGGGGUUCUGAGAGGAAGGUCCCCCACAUUGGAACUGAGACACGGUCCAAACUCCUACGGGAGGCAGCAGUGAGGAAUAUUGGUCAAUGGGCGCAGGCCUGAACCAGCCAAGUAGCGUGAAGGAUGACUGCCCUAUGGGUUGUAAACUUCUUUUAUAUGGGAAUAAAGUUUUCCACGUGUGGAAUUUUGUAUGUACCAUAUGAAUAAGGAUCGGCUAACUCCGUGCCAGCAGCCGCGGUAAUACGGAGGAUCCGAGCGUUAUCCGGAUUUAUUGGGUUUAAGGGAGCGUAGGUGGACAGUUAAGUCAGUUGUGAAAGUUUGCGGCUCAACCGUAAAAUUGCAGUUGAUACUGGCUGUCUUGAGUACAGUAGAGGUGGGCGGAAUUCGUGGUGUAGCGGUGAAAUGCUUAGAUAUCACGAAGAACUCCGAUUGCGAAGGCAGCUCACUGGACUGCAACUGACACUGAUGCUCGAAAGUGUGGGUAUCAAACAGGAUUAGAUACCCUGGUAGUCCACACAGUAAACGAUGAAUACUCGCUGUUUGCGAUAUACAGUAAGCGGCCAAGCGAAAGCAUUAAGUAUUCCACCUGGGGAGUACGCCGGCAACGGUGAAACUCAAAGGAAUUGACGGGGGCCCGCACAAGCGGAGGAACAUGUGGUUUAAUUCGAUGAUACGCGAGGAACCUUACCCGGGCUUAAAUUGCAGAUGAAUUACGGUGAAAGCCGUAAGCCGCAAGGCAUCUGUGAAGGUGCUGCAUGGUUGUCGUCAGCUCGUGCCGUGAGGUGUCGGCUUAAGUGCCAUAACGAGCGCAACCCUUGUUGUCAGUUACUAACAGGUUCCGCUGAGGACUCUGACAAGACUGCCAUCGUAAGAUGUGAGGAAGGUGGGGAUGACGUCAAAUCAGCACGGCCCUUACGUCCGGGGCUACACACGUGCUACAAUGGGGGGUACAGAGGGCCGCUACCACGCGAGUGGAUGCCAAUCCCCAAAACCUCUCUCAGUUCGGACUGGAGUCUGCACCC